rnacentral:rRNA from 1 species
UACGUAGGGAGCAAGCGUUGUCCGGAUUCAUUGGGCGUAAAGGGUGCGUAGGCGGCGCGGUAAGUCGGGUGUGAAAUCUUGGAGCUUAACUCCGAAACUGCAUUCGAUACUGCCGUGCUUGAGGACUGGAGAGGAGACUGGAAUUUACGGUGUAGCGGUGAAAUGCGUAGAUAUCGUAAGGAAGACCAGUGGCGAAGGCGGGUCUCUGGACAGUUCCUGACGCUGAGGCACGAAGGCCAGGGGAGCAAACGGG